GUAAUUAUAAAGAUUAAGGUAGUAUUAGAUAUGUUCUUUAAACUUAAAAAAUUUGGCGGUAUUUUAGUCUAUUCAGAGGAACCUGUUUUGUAAUCGAUAAUCCACGAUGGACCUUACUUAAGUUUGUUAAUCAGUUUAUAUACCGUUGUUAUUAGAAUAUUUUAUAAGAAUGUUAAUUUUCAUAAUUUUUAUAUAAAAAGUAUAUCAAAUCAAGGUGUAGCUUAUAUUUAAGUAUAAAUGGGUUACAAUAAAUUUAUUUAAGCGGAUAUAAAUUUGAAAUAUUUAUUAAAGAUGGAUUUGAUAGUAAAAUUAUAAAGAUAAAUAAUUUGAUUUUAGCUCUAAAAUAUGCACAAAUCGCCCGUCACUCUCUGA
rnacentral:rRNA from 1 species